UGACGCAGCGACGCCGCGUGAGUGAUGAAGGCCUUCGGGUCGUAAAGCUCUGUCCUCAGGGAAGAAGCAAGUGACGGUACCUGAGGAGGAAGCCCCGGCUAACUACGUGCCAGCAGCCGCGGUA
rnacentral:rRNA from 1 species